AUUGAACGCUGGCGGCAGGCCUAACACAUGCAAGUCGAACGAGUGGCGGACGGGUGAGUAAUGUCUGGGAAACUGCCCGAUGGAGGGGGAUAACUACUGGAAACGGUAGCUAAUACCGCAUACCAUCGGAUUUGCCCAGAUGGGAUUAGCUAGUAGGUGGGGUAAAGGCCCACAUAGGCGACGAUCCCUAGCUGGUCUGAGAGGAUGACCAGCCACACUGGCACUGAGAAACGGUCCAGAAGCCUACGGGAGGCAGCAGUGGGGAAUAUUGCACAAUGGGCGCAAGCCUGAUGAAGCCAUGCCGCGGGUAUGAAGAAGGCCUUCGGGUUGUAAAGUACGUUCAGCGGGGAGGCGUUACCCGAAGAAGAAGCACCGGCUAACUCCGUGCUAGCAGCCGCGGUAAUUC
rnacentral:rRNA from 1 species